rnacentral:rRNA from 1 species
GACGAACGCUGGCGGCGUGCUUAACACAUGCAAGUCGAACGGAAAGGCCCUUCUUUUGUGGGGUGCUCGAGUGGCGAACGGGUGAGUAACACGUGAGUAACCUGCCCUUGACUUUGGGAUAACUUCAGGAAACUGGGGCUAAUACCGGAUAGGAGCUCCUUCUGCAUGGUGGGGGUUGGAAAGUUUCGGCGGUUGGGGAUGGACUCGCGGCUUAUCAGCUUGUUGGUGGGGUAGUGGCUUACCAAGGCUUUGACGGGUAGCCGGCCUGAGAGGGUGACCGGCCACAUUGGGACUGAGAUACGGCCCAGACUCCUACGGGAGGCAGCAGUGGGGAAUAUUGCACAAUGGGCGGAAGCCUGAUGCAGCAACGCCGCGUGCGGGAUGACGGCCUUCGGGUUGUAAACCGCUUUCGCCAGUGACGAAGCGUGAGUGACGGUAAUGGGUAAAGAAGCACCGGCUAACUACGUG